GGAGAGGUGUCCGAGCGGCUGAAGGAGCACGCCUGGAAAGUGUGUAUACGGCAACGUAUCGAGGGUUCGAAUCCCUCCCUCUCCGCCA
rnacentral:tRNA from 3 species